GUUAAGCGACUAAGCGUACACGGUGGAUGCCCUGGCAGUCAGAGGCGAUGAAGGGCGUGCUAAUCUGCGAUAAGCGCCGGUAAGGUGAUAUGAACCGUUAUAACCGGCGAUACCCGAAUGGGGAAACCCAGUGUGAUUCGUCACACUAUCAUUAACUGAAUCCAUAGGUUAAUGAGGCGAACCGGGGGAACUGAAACAUCUAAGUACCCCGAGGAAAAGAAAUCAACCGAGAUUCCCCCAGUAGCGGCGAGCGAACGGGGAGGAGCCCAGAGCCUGAAUCAGCAUGUGUGUUAGUGGAAGCGUCUGGAAAGGCGCGCGAUACAGGGUGACAGCCCCGUACACAAAAGCGCAUGUGCUGUGAGCUCGAUGAGUAGGGCGGGACACGUGGUAUCCUGUCUGAAUAUGGGGGGACCAUCCUCCAAGGCUAAAUACUCCUGACUGACCGAUAGUGAACCAGUACCGUGAGGGAAAGGCGAAAAGAACCCCGGCGAGGGGAGUGAAAAAGAACCUGAAACCGUGUACGUACAAGCAGUGGGAGCCCCACCACCAAAGCAUUCUCUGGUGUUGAAGGCCCUGCAAAGCAGCAUCGCGGUGGCGGAGCGUCGUUUGCGACGCCCAACACACAAAACAAGCGGUGAGUGCUUUGGGGUGGGGUGACUGCGUACCUUUUGUAUAAUGGGUCAGCGACUUAUAUUCUGUAGCAAGGUUAACCGUAUAGGGGAGCCGUAGGGAAACCGAGUCUUAACCGGGCGUUAAGUUGCAGGGUAUAGACCCGAAACCCGGUGAUCUAGCCAUGGGCAGGUUGAAGGUUGGGUAACACUAACUGGAGGACCGAACCGACUAAUGUUGAAAAAUUAGCGGAUGACCUGUGGCUGGGGGUGAAAGGCCAAUCAAACCGGGAGAUAGCUGGUUCUCCCCGAAAGCUAUUUAGGUAGCGCCUCGUGAAUUCAUCUCCGGGGGUAGAGCACUGUUUCGGCUAGGGGGCCAUCCCGGCUUACCAACCCGAUGCAAACUGCGAAUACCGGAGAAUGUUAUCACGGGAGACACACGGCGGGUGCUAACGUCCGUCGUGAAGAGGGAAACAACCCAGACCGCCAGCUAAGGUCCCAAAGUCAUGGUUAAGUGGGAAACGAUGUGGGAAGGCCCAGACAGCCAGGAUGUUGGCUUAGAAGCAGCCAUCAUUUAAAGAAAGCGUAAUAGCUCACUGGUCGAGUCGGCCUGCGCGGAAGAUGUAACGGGGCUAAACCAU
rnacentral:rRNA from 1 species